ensembl:lncRNA
AAGAAGCGGGAGCUGGAGAGAGGAGGUCAUUCAUGUUCCCACAGAAGAGCUGAUCUCUAUCACACCGCAGCUUCUCCAUGGACCCAUCAUCUCCACAUAGGCAGAGAGAAGGAGUAGCACGGGGGUGUCAUGCCCCCCACCCUGCCCCGCCAAGAAAGAGUCCGGUCCCACCAACAGGGGUACCUGCCGGCCUGCUGUGCGCUGGCUUCGCAUCCUGGUCCAGGGGCCGAUGAGACCCAGGCUCUGGCCCCGGGAGCCGGGUGGGGGAAAAGGCCAAGCAGACAGACACUCAGGACAUAAGACAGAGAGCUGAGCCCUGGGAGGCCGGCCCAACGUGCUGGGGGGACCAAAGCUGAAAUCCUCCUGGGGAGGGCUGUCCCCGAGGGGCCCUGGGUGCCGGUGGCCUUCAGACAGGGCGUAGGGAAGAAUCAUAGGAAGAUGCAGCCAUGUCGUUCCUCAGGGUCUCCCGUGUGGACCCCACGGGAAAGUGGGUUGACAGCCGAGCCCUGAGCCAGUCUGUGCUGCUUCUGGAAGGAGGUCUCCUCCUGAUCUUGCUUCCCUUUCUGCCUGGCCCAGGAAGCUCGGGGGGGGUGGACAAAUCGGACCGUCCUGCGCUCGGCGCCCUUCAGCCUCAAAUCAGUGGUCUAGAGCUGCAUCUGUCAUGUGAACAAACCUUCAAUACAGAUGACGGUGAUUGGGGUCUGCCCAGAAGGACCCGAUCCUGCCCACCUUUCCAGUGAUGUCCCCACGGCUGCAGGAAUUACCCACUGGGCCCAGGGACACUGGCCGUGGUCUCAGCCAAUGUGCCGCGCCGCGCCGCGCCAAGCCAGCAGGUCCAGGCGGGGGCACAGGAAAUUCCCUUUGGGGAGCCGCCUGAUCCAUCAACAGGGAUGGGGCUCCUUCCUGGACCACUCACGGGACCCGGGGAUGCCUUGGCUGGGUGACGUGAGGGAGGCAUUUGCUGGGGGCACAAAAUCUGAGAGGGUACCCUACUUCCCACCCAUUGGGAUGGCUGUUAUCAAAAAAGGAAAACCCAGAAAAUAACAAUAGCUUUAUCUUCAGGCUAAAGAGCGUUGUUCCUUGCAAAGCUGUGUCUCUGUCUGGGCAGAGUGGGUCCUCCAUGGCUGGCCUCCCCAAGGGUGACGUCAAAUCUGUGGCUCAUCGUGUUCUUCUUAAACGAGUGUUGUCCUAGGGACAAGAUUCGCCCGUGGUCGUUAGGGGCAGUGGACAGGAUACGUGGGAACAGUGCGUGCAAGUUGUACAUCUGUUCUGCCUUCGGGUCCUGCCUCCCAGCUAUCAUCAUAUCAGCUCAGUGGUGAGUGGACCACUCUGGGGAAUCCUUGCCCUGCACUCGGCCCCUCCUGGACCUGCCCUGGAGUCCUCAUGGUGGGAGCACCUGAGAGGCGGGACCACCCAUCACGAGCGCCUGCAGGUGUGGCAGGAACCACAUGGGAGUGCAAGUGGACACGCGCGAUUCACGUUCUGCUCCUCAGCAAAGCGGGCUGUCACCAGGUGUAAUACAUCCAUACCUUGCUGACAUUUUCUGUUCUCUGCAGAGAUUUUACCAAGGUUUACCUAAAC